rnacentral:rRNA from 1 species
CAUGCAAGUGGUUAUAUUAACCCGACAGUUUAAAUAAGUGUUCAAUGCUACAUUAAACUUAUCACAUAUCACGCAUAGAUGAUUUUGUUUACAGUAGUAACAAUUUCAGCGUGAAUCACCCAUCACAGUGAAUCACUGAAAUUUACCCAAUAUCAGUAUCACUUACGCAACUGCAGACAGCUGCUUAAUACAGUCACACUUGUCUUGACUUGGCGUAAUAAAAAUUUUCAUUGAAACACCCGCUCGCGGGCAGCUCGGUGAAUUUUUUUAUUUUGUUGCAUCACGCAUACAAAAUUUUUUGAUUUCUCUGUAUCGCUUAUUCUUAAGGACAUGCGUUACACCGUGACAAUUUUCUUUAUGGAUAACUCAGGGAAAGUUUGGCUAAUACGUACGAGUACUUUACCACACACACACACACACACACACACACUCAACAAUUCAAAAUUUUUUUGUAUUGCUGUGUAUCAACUACUACUCAGCACUCARUGGUAAACUUUGGCUGCCUCGCGCAGUCAGUUUAAAGUUUAACUGCAACAUGAGAGACAUUGAGCACGCACGUGUCGUGUCUUCGGACACUUCACAUCACGCUGAGCAGACUUUGCGAAGUUUACUUUGCGAAGCAUGUCAUACAAGCAUCUACAGCAUCAAGUCACAGGGUUGGCAAGUGUAUUUUUGAACCUUCAAAGCAGUCACGCAUACGGAAGAGUAGUUUCUGAUCCCAUAGAAGGAGCACCGUACAAUGAGAGACCGCUCUUAGUUCUAAGGAACGCAGCAGGCGCGUAAAUUGCCCAAUGCUAAUACCCUACAAUCAAAUUGUAUUUACAUGCGUUAACAAUUUACAACAUACAAGUUUUAAUGACAGACAUUAUAACACUUUCAUUUUUUCUGUUACAUUACACACAUAUAUAUCCUUGUUCGUUGUAUUCAGCAUCCAUAAUAUUAAUUUAUUAUUUUACUGAGGCAGUGACAAGCUGUAACGGUUGAGUAUAAAAAUGACGAGUGUCUGGCAUUGCCGCUCUUUCGGGAGCUUGGCAAGUUGCCGACGCUUUGUGUGCUCAAUUGGAAUGCGGUGAGUUUAAGCAACUCAGAACCUUUGGACGGUGUUAGUAAAAUUUCACUGUUCGUGUAUCUGAAUUUCAAGCGGAGGGCAAGUCUGGUGCCAGCAGCCGCGGUAAUACCAGCUCCACUGGCCUAUACAAUCAUUGUUGCGGUUAAGAGGCUCGUAGUUGGAUUGAACUGCAAAUACGAAUGAAUUUCUCAUUCUGUUUGAAGUUUUACGCUUUAAUCACUCGUGAUUUUUUGCGUUCGACGCCUGUUAAAAUUUAUACAAUUUUUUCUGUUGUAUUAAAUUUUUCAUUUACACGGCACGAAUAUUUUCUGCCGCAUACAUUUUAUUACACCACACACACACACACACACACGUUGUAAUAAUAAACGUAUGCAUUUCAACGCUGAAAACUUUUGUAUUCRAACACUCGUUUARAAUUUAUUCUCCUUUUCAACACUGUGAACAAAUCAGUGUGUAUCAAACAUGUCKUUUUGAAUGUGCAUUGAAUGUCUUAUCAUGGGAUGUUGCACUUUCUGCGUUAAAAAUUUUUAUUGCCUGUUUACAGCGCUGUAUUCAUUUUUAGCAUUACACACACACACAGCACGCACAUGUUACRUGCCACGUAAAUAAUUUUUCUAUACAUACGAUAAAUUUUUUUAACGGUUAAAARUGUCGAUGGRGAUAGUUGGAGUCAACAGUACUGCUGGGCGAGAGGUGAAAUUCAUUGACCCUAGCAAGACUACCAAAAGCGAAAGCAGUUGGCUAGGCUAUACUCUUUGUGAUUAUAUUUUUAUGCGACGUAGCUUACGCUGAAAUUUUUUUGCAUUACACACACACACACACUGCAUCAAAUUUUUUUUUGGCGCUUCGCUGCAGCAUAUACAUAUAUAUACACUUUACAAUGAAGAACGAAGGUUGGGGGAUCAAAGAGAAUCAGAUACCCUCGUCGUCCCAUUAAUUACAUCAAACGAUGGGCUCUCAAUUGCAUCUUUUAUUAAAUUGCAAAUUUCCUCAGCCUACAAAAUAACUUGGCUUGAGCUCGUAUUUUUAUACGCUCGCCUAACUUUUUUCGUACGGUCUCGAUGGACGUUUCAUUUAUAUUUUUUGCGUGUAAGCAUUUGUUAUUCUUUGAAACAUAAGAAUGCAUUGCGUGCACUUGAUUUUCGGAGCUUUGCGCUCAAUUCUGGUGAGAUGUAAGCACUAUGUCACACUACCCGCAGCAUAUGUCUUCGGGCAUUUUGUCUGUCGUGUGUAGUUGACAAUCUUGGUGUGAAGCACGCUUUAGGCACGCGCNUACUGCAGAAAUGUCUGAGACAUUCCCCUCCGGGGGUAGUAUGCACGCAAGUGUGAAACUUGAAGGAAUUGACGGAAGGGCACCACAAGAACGCGUGGAGCAUGUGGCUUAAUUUGACUCAACGCGGGAAAUCUUACCGGGUCCGGACACACUGAGGAUUGACAGGCAAUAUUAAUACGUGUUCGCACGUAUUAUGUUAAAUAUGCUAGUCCUUUCAUGAUUAUGUGAUAGGUGGUGCAUGGCCGUUCUUAGUUCGUGGAGUGAUCUGUCUGCUUAAUUGCGUUUCACUAAGGGCCUAUAAAUUUACGUGUGUUGCGGCACUUUGACCCCUUUCUUCGGAAAGCGCGUGUCUUAGUUUGCUUUGCUCACACAAUUAGGUCCUGAAAGCAACGAACGUGACCGCAACCUCUUGUUGCCUUUAUACCAAACAUGUUUGUCAUUUUUAUGGCAUUCAUGAAAAAAGGCUUUUUAAACUAGAGGGACCGCUGUUACUUUCUUAAACCAGAGGAAGGUUGCGGCAAUAACAGGUCUGUGAUGCCCUUAGAUGUUCCGGGCUGCACACGUGCUACAAUGAUUAUUGCAGUGAGCAUCUCAUUUUUACACACCGCAUGCGCGAGUCCAUUUAUUCACUUCGGUGCUUUAAAUGUGUAUUUCUGCGCGCGGUAAAGCCUGCUUCGAAAGUAAGUGGGUAAUCAAUUAGAAGUAAUGAUUUCCUUUUUAGCACACAUAUAUACGGCGUCUAUACCCGGGUUACCUUGUUGUAACUUUUGUGUGUAUAGAUGUUUUUUCCGUAUGUGCGAUUGUCAAUUCAUGGUGGGGACAGACCAUUGUUAAUUGUUGGUCUCGGUCUUAACUAGGAAUGCCUUGUACGGGUCUUUGGUUCAACAAACCACCCGGAAUACGUCCCUGCCCUUUGUACACACCGCCCGUCGCUCUUACCGAUGGACUUCUCUGUGAGUUUGAGGGACUGGGAACGCAGAAUUUAUUCUGCACACCUAUGGAAACUUAAACGAACAGUGUGGUCUAAAGGAAAGAGAAGUCGUAACAAGGCAUCGGUAGGUGAACCU